GAAAGGAUGACUCUCGGCAACGGAUAUCUCGGCUCUCGCAUCGAUGAAGAACGCAGCGAAAUGCGAUACUUGGUGUGAAUUGCAGAAUCCCGCGAACCAUUGAGUCUUUGAACGCAAGUUGCGCCCGAGGCCAUCAGGCCAAGGGCACGCCUGCCUGGGCGUCACGC
rnacentral:rRNA from 1 species